rnacentral:rRNA from 1 species
UGGGGAAUUUUGCACAAUGGGGGAAACCCUGAUGCAGCGACGCCGCGUGAUUUAGAAGGCCUUCGGGUUGUAAAAAUCUUUUCUAUGGGAAGAAAAUGACAGUACCAUAGGAAUAAGGACCGGCUAAUUACGGCCCAGCAGCCGCGGUAAUACGUAAGGUCCGAGCGUUGUCCGGAAUCAUUGGGCGUAAAGGGUACGUAGGCGGGUAAGCAAGUUAGAAGUGAAAUCCUAUAGCUCAACUAUAGUAAGCUUUUAAAACUGCUCAUCUUGAGGUAUGGAAGGGAAAGUGGAAUUCCUAGUGUAGCGGUGAAAUGCGAAGAUAUUAGGAGGAAUACCGGUGGCGAAGGCGACUUUCUGGCCAUAACCUGACGCUGAGGUACGAAAGCGUGGGUAGCAAACAGG